rnacentral:lncRNA from 1 species
ACUUCCUCCGCGGUUCCUCGGAGCCGCCUCGCUCCUCUUCAGGGACUUUGCUGAGAAGGGCUCUCGGGCGUCCAGACCCCACCGCAAAGGUGUUUGGCGAUCCGCCGAGAAGUUGUUGGCCCCAGGAGCAUCCCUCGGGGCCGAAUGCGCAGUGGACGAUGCCCCUUCUGACCCAACAGAUCCAAGACGAGGAUGAUCAGUACAGCCUUGUGGCCAGCCUUGACAACGUUAGGAAUCUCUCCACUAUCUUGAAAGCUAUUCAUUUCCGAGAACAUGCCACGUGUUUCGCAACUAAAAAUGGUAUCAAAGUAACAGUGGAAAAUGCAAAGUGUGUGCAAGCAAAUGCUUUUAUUCAGGUAUGGAAGUAGGCGCCUUUAAGCCUGUGCCAUAGAUACUCUAAAUGUAAUUUAAUGAAAUCGGAAGGUUUCAGUAGACAAAAUAACUUAAUAGUCAUAAUAACUUGUCAAUAGUCAUAAUAAAUAACUUAAUAAAUAAAUAAUAGUCUUAAGUUAGAGAACAAAACGUCAUUACUUGAAUUUUUUUUCUCUCCCGGUAACAAAUUCUUUUCCCAUCU